GCCCCGCUAGCUCAGACGGUAGAGCCUCCGAUUCUUAAUCGGGCGGUCGGAGGUUCGAGUCCUCCGCGGGGCA
rnacentral:tRNA from 1 species